CACCAAUAGGGAACGUGAGCU
rnacentral:siRNA from 1 species